rnacentral:rRNA from 1 species
UACCAGCACCCCGAGUGGUCGGGACGAUUAUUGGGCCUAAAGCAUCCGUAGCCGGUCAUGCAAGUCUUCCGUUAAAUCCAGCCGCUCAACGGUUGGGCUGCGGAGGAUACUACGUGGCUAGGAGGCGGGAGAGGCAAGCGGUACUCAGUGGGUAGGGGUAAAAUCCUUUGAUCCAUUGAAGACCACCAGUGGCGAAGGCGGCUUGCCAGAACGCGCUCGACGGUGAGGGAUGGAAGCUGGGGGAGCAAACCGG